AUAUUUUUUCUUUUCAAAUGUAUUUCCAAAACAUGUCAUGCAUACUCCCAACUACAAAACCUAACCAAUAGAAACAACUCAACAAAAACUAUUAUGCAAUGACACCAUGAAUCCGACACACUCCCUACGAUCUCCACAUCGGGGAACCGCAGGAAAGCAAUGCAUCGGAACCUACCCGAAACCUCAAAUAUAAAUUCCUAAAAUCUUUAUGCAAGCUUAAACCAAUAACGGUAAGCUCUCUAACCCAAGGCUUUAGCCUUAAACCCGACUCUACUUGAAAUGAUCCGCUUUAUUUAAAAAAAAAAAAGGUUCAUCAACGAAAGAAUAAAAAAAAAGGGAAAAGGAAAAAAAAAAUUAAUUAACAAACUUAAAAAAAAAAAAGAGACCACGUAAAACCCCACUACCCAAUUCCUAUUUCAAAUAAAACCCACCAUCCACCCAUUAUAUUUUUAUCCAAUUCAGAACUGUAUACCCUUCUCUCUCUCUCUCGUUCUAAUUCUUCCCUGUGCAAAAAGAACCAACGCCGCAGUUCCUCACUUAUCUCCCUCCGUCUUCUUUUCUUCUUCACAAAACAGAAUUUGCACAAAAAUCCAACAAUAAAAAAUACACACUCAUAAGGAGAAUUUCAGUAUUCAAGUAGAAGGGAUUUGAAGAUAACAUUUUGAGAGUUAGGGUUUGUGCUCUGAAAGAGGAAAAGAGUACCCACCCUUUUAGGAUUGCUUAUUUUGGCUUCUUUGAGAUUCAACGGCGAGUAGGUCGUUCGGUGGUCGUGGGAUUGUUGAAAUCAAUUGCGUUGAUUCGUCGUAGUUAUUUUCAGGCAACUGAGUAGCAGACUGUUGUCAGAUUCAGAUCAUUCGACUUAAUUCCUUUGGCAGGUUGUCAUGUUGGUGUCUCUUAUUUAAUCCUAGUUAUCUGCAGCUAUAGGGAGUCAUAGGUGGAUUUAGAUUUGGGAUUGCGAUUUAUUGUUAGAUUUUAAGAGUUGACACUUGAGUGCUUAAGUUGAUUUUAUAUUUCACUUAAAAUACUGGUUAUGAAAGAACUUAUUGGCAGAUGUUGUUAAUUUGUAA